rnacentral:rRNA from 1 species
UACAGAGGGUGCGAGCGUUAAUCGGAAUUACUGGGCGUAAAGCGCGCGUAGGCGGCUUUGCAAGUCGAGUGUGAAAUCCCCAGGCUCAACCUGGGAACUGCAUUCGAGACUGCAUAGCUAGAGUAUGGGAGAGGGAAGUGGAAUUUCAGGUGUAGCGGUGAAAUGCGUAGAUAUCGGAAGGAACACCAGUGGCGAAAGCGGCUUCCUGGUCCAGCACCGACGUUCAGGCACGAAAGCGUGGGGAGCAAACAGGG